rnacentral:rRNA from 1 species
UACGGGGGGGGCAAGCGUUGUUCGGAAUUACUGGGCGUAAAGGGCGCGUAGGCGGCCUUCUAAGUCGAACGUGAAAUCCCCGGGCUCAACCCGGGAACUGCGUCCGAUACUGGAAGGCUUGAAUCCGGGAGAGGGAUGCGGAAUUCCAGGUGUAGCGGUGAAAUGCGUAGAUAUCUGGAGGAACACCGGUGGCGAAGGCGACGUCCUGGACCGGCAUUGACGCUGAGGCGCGAAAGCCAGGGGAGCAAACGGG